AGCUAACCAGUACUAAUUGCCCGUGUGGCUUGACCAUAUAACACCCAAGCAAUUUGG
rnacentral:rRNA from 1 species